UACAGAGGGUGCAAGCGUUAAUCGGAAUUACUGGGCGUAAAGCGUGCGUAGACGGUUCUGUAAGUCGGGUGUGAAAGCCCCGGGCUCAACCUGGGAAUUGCAUUCGAGACUGCAUAGCUAGGGUGCGGAAGAGGGAAGCGGAAUUUCCGGUGUAGCGGUGAAAUGCGUAGAUAUCGGAAGGAACACCAGUGGCGAAAGCGGCUUCCUGGGCCAGCACCGACGGUCAGGCACGAAAGCGUGGGGAGCAAACAGG
rnacentral:rRNA from 1 species